AUGCGUAUGUUGAGAUGGAUGUGUGGCCACACCAGGAAGGAUCGAGUCCGGAAUGAUGAUAUACGAGAUAGAGUUGGGGUAGCACCAAUUGAGGAGAAGGUUGUCCAACAUCGUCUGAGAUGGUUUGGGCAUAUUCAGCGCAGGCCUCCGGAAGCUCCAGUGCAUAGCGGACGGCUAAAGCGUGCGGAGCAUGUCAAGAGAGGGCGGGGUCGACCAAAUUUGACAUGGGAGGAGUCCCUUAAGAGAGACCUGAAGGAUUGGAGUAUCGACAAAGAGCUAGCUAUGGACAGGGGUGCAUGGAAGCUUGCUAUCCAUGUGCCAGAGCCAUGA
rnacentral:rRNA from 1 species